CUCGGCUCUCGCAUCGAUGAAGAACGUAGCGAAAUGCGAUACUUGGUGUGAAUUGCAGAAUCCCGUGUUCCAUCGAGGAAUUGCAGCAAUCCCGUGAACCAUCGAGUCUUUGAACGCAAGUUGCGCCCGAAGCCGUCAGGCCGAGGGCACGUCUGCCUGGGCGUCACGCAUCGCGUCGCCCCCCCCUUCCCGCGACC
rnacentral:rRNA from 1 species